GUAAAUAUAGUUUAUUCAAAACAUCAGACCGUGACCCUGAUGAUAAGGGACUUUCCCCUUUAUUUACC
rnacentral:tRNA from 1 species